rnacentral:rRNA from 1 species
AGUGAACGCUGGCGGUAGGCCUAACACAUGCAAGUCAAACGGCAGCACAGUAAGAGCUUGCUCUUACGGGUGGCGAGUGGCGGACGGGUGAGGAAUACAUCGGAAUCUACUUUUUCGUGGGGGAUAACGUAGGGAAACUUACGCUAAACCGCAUACGACCUACGGGUGAAAGCAGGGGAUCUUCGGACCUUGCGCGAUUGAAUGAGCCGAUGUCGGAUUAGCUAGUUGGCGGGGUAAAGGCCCACCAAGGCGACGAUCCGUAGCUGGUCUGAGAGGAUGAUCAGCCACACUGGAACUGAGACACGGUCCAGACUCCUACGGGAGGCAGCAGUGGGGAAUAUUGGACAAUGGGCGCAAGCCUGAUCCAGCCAUACCGCGUGGGUGAAGAAGGCCUUCGGGCUGUAAAGCCCUUUUGUUGGGAAAGAAAAGCAGCAGGUUAAUACCCCGCUGUUCUGACGGUACCCAAAGAAUAAGCACCGGCUAACUUCGUG